CGCCAAACCGCUAAGGCGUCACUAACCAUGCUUGUUUCUUGGACUAUCUGGAACGAGUGAAACGCAAGAGUCUUCAAGCACAAGAGCGCACCACCGACUAUAUUGCUUGCCUUCAUCGAGACCGAGGCCAACCUUUGGGUCAUCGCCGGUGCAAAAAAAUUAAGGUCCAUUAUUUUGCGAGAGUAA
rnacentral:rRNA from 1 species